UUGCCCAUUUUGGCACUAGCACAUUUUUGCUUCUGUAUAUAUACUUUGAGCAAUUAUGUGUAGUGCCAAUAUAGGAGA
rnacentral:pre_miRNA from 13 species